CAUGUAGGUGGCCUUGUAAGUGAACGAUUAAAGACCAGCGCUUAACGUUGGGAAGGUUGUUCAUACUGUAAGGCUAGAGAGAAGCAGGGGUAAGCGGAACUUUAGGUGUAGGAGUGAAAUCCGUAGAUAUCUAAAGGAACACCAAUGGCGAAGGCAGCUUACUGGGCUUUUUCUGACACUGAGAUGCGAAAGCGUGGGGAGCGAACGGGAUUAGAUACCCCGGUAGUCCACGCUGUAAACGAUGCUGACUAGCUCUUGGAGGGUAUCGACCCCCUUUUGGAGCGAAGCUAACGCGAUAAGUCAGCCGCCUGGGGAGUACGAGCGCAAGCUUAAA
rnacentral:rRNA from 1 species